AGCUUUGCGCAGUGGCAGUAUUGUGGCCAAUGAGGUUUAUCCGAGAUGCGAUUAUUGCUAAUUGAAAAGGUAACUAAGAUUCUAAACCAAAGCACUUACAAUGUAUUAUAGGGUUUACAAUUACGUAAAAGCAAAAAUGUA
rfam:Mustela putorius furo unplaced genomic scaffold scaffold00046, whole genome shotgun sequence.